ensembl:lncRNA
AGAGAGAGAGAGAGAGGUUGAUUGUAAAUUUAAUUCCUGUAUCUUAGUCAUUUCUGGGCCAUGGGUCAUUAGGCACACAUUAGUGCUGCUGGGCAUUUUUCACAGGGGCUGCACCAGCAGAAAGGAGCUGGGUUUUGCAAAGCCAAGGGUGUGAGAGAGAUCCGUGUGCAUGAGAAAGCUCAGUCCUGUGCUCAGCCCCGCAGUGCUGGGAAGUUCCCCCAAAUACUCCCGGUGUCCGUCUGUCCGCAGCCAUGACAAACAGCCCGGGGAAGCAGGCUCCUUUAAUGGGCUCCAGCAUUUUAUUUAUAGCCCCUUCGAAUAAGUGCAGCUGAUACUUAAGAUCGGCGGAUUUAAUGACAGCGAGCUGGCGAAAGGCCAGGGCUGCAAAUAGCGCCGCUAAAAGUCUUCUCCGCUAUAAAAUUUGUUUAAUGCAAGAAAUCAUCCCGUGCAGGUUUUUUGGCUGGCAUUUUUAUAAUUAGCGGGUGAAAUCGCCAUUUCGCCCCUACGAUCCGCCAGCACUUUAUGGGAUGGGGCUGCCUUGGAGAUGGAUUGUUGUGCUGGAAGAGGCGCUGAAGCUUUGCCACUCCGUAUCAUCCCACUCUUCCUCGGGGACACCCAUGUAUGCCCACUCCCAGCACCUUUCCCUUCCCUCCAGGUGUCAUCUCUCCGAGGUUUGACCAAGAGCCCAUCACACUAAGUGGUAAGGCAGCACGGCUGGGAGCUGGGAACUUUGGGAUCUGUAGACAUGCACUGAAGCCACCACACUUGGUUGGUGUUUGAUAACUUCGCCGCUUUUCACUAAGGAGCCCUCAGGUGAGCGCCUGCCGUGGGGUUGUAGAGGUGGGGAGAUGUCUUCUCUUCCAGCACAGAGCCCACCUGGCUCACAAAGGGCUUUUCUGGGUGUUGUACAGGAUGGCUCUCUCUAAAGGAGCAGUGCCAUAAAAAAAAUAUCUGUUUGAGAUAAUAAAAGGCAAACAAAACGCUGGAAAAACAUUGAAGGGUUGGAAAUCCUCCUAGGUUUUGCAGUUAAAUUUACCGAUGCACUCAGGAGCUCUCUAUGAGCUUCCCUGGGAAUCCAGAGGACAUGGGAUUAUCCUGAGCAUCUUGAUGGGAUAUUUUUCCCUGCUGUUUGCACCACGCGAUAAUGUCCUCUGGACCUCCUGCCCUGCAGAGAUUUCGGCCCAGCUCUCUCCUGUACAAAGAUGAACCAUGGGUGAGCCCUGGCCAGCUCUGUGAUUUAGAUUUCCCAUCGCUUGUCUGCGAGCUGGGCUGAUAUUUAUGGACAUGCUCUGGAUCGGAGGUAAAAUGCUGCAUCUUUCAUGGAAGCUGUGAGAGGUAAUUAGUAUCUGUCCUGUGGGAUGGGGCUUAAUGUUGAGACUCUUCAGGAGGGCUCUCGGUGUUCAAAGACUUAGCACCUUGCUGAACUGGGAUCUGAAUUCACAGGAUGCAUUAAAGCAUAAUUUAAGGAUGAAAAAAGGCGGAGGAAAGAUAAUAAUUAGGUGGAUUGUGCCCUUGUGAGACACCGCAUCCCUAUUUCCAAGUAAAAACUGCGUGUAAGAGAGGCACUGUGCUGGCUGCAGGUGUCUCCAGACCUUGAAAGGUCUUGGAACAAAACUCCUGGAGGGCUGACCCCCAUGGGACUGAGACUUGCAGCUUGAGAUCCCUCAUUUCAGGUCAUGGCUCCUUCUGCUUCUCUUAGCGAAUGUCAUAAAUACAGAGGCUUUGCCCCAAAAUUAUAUGCACAGAAAUGGAGGACUAUUUGAGGGCAUGAAAUAACCUGAGUUUUUCUGGCCCAGACGACUAAUUGCACAUUAUUCACCCAGUUCUGGUAGGGUGUCCGUUUUGCUGGACUAAACCCCAUCAUAUAAUAACCUCUUAGCCUACUGGGCUCAUCUCCAGAGCUCAAAGCUCUUCCGUUUCCUUGCCUCUCUUCUACCACUUAUUUAAUUUAUUUCCCAAAAAAUACUGAAAUAAAAGGAUUUUUAAACCAGAAUAGGACAGGACUCUUUCUUUGCAGUGCACAGUUUGCUGGGUAUGGCUGGAGAACCUGAACUAUUGUCAAGAAUGCCACUCAAAUUACAAUAUAAUUGUCUGGGGAAAAAAAAAAGUUCUGGCAGCUAAUUCUGAUUGCAGUGCACAUUUCUGUGCCUGUGACAAAUGAUUUCUAAAGUUAGCCUCAAGGACACCGAGCUUCCAAGAGGUCACCCAUCCACACUGUUUAUUUUACUUGCCAUCCUAAAAUAAGUUUUAAAAAGUGAAAUUAACAGCGAAGGGAAAGAAGGAAGAAAACUGUUGAUGGUGGGGAGAAGAUUGAAGUGUUUUGUUUUAAAAGGAGCGAUGCUCGGGACCAUAAAAUAUGAAAUACAGGGGGGGAAGCAGAUUUGGGGCUAACCUACAAUAUCGCAUUAGGCUUUAAAGCCGUUCCAACAGACUAAGCAUUUGAGAAAGAAUUGGAGCUGCUUGUGAUAAGUUGCUCCUCUUAUCGGCAAACUGUCAUCUGUCUUGGGAGAGAACAUUUUGUCCACCCUACCAAAACAAGUCAGAAAAAUUGGAUAAAAACAAAAAUAUAAAUCAGAAUGGGAACUGGGAGCCGAACUGAAAUGAUGGCAAUUUCCUGGCAAGGCUCGCUGGACGGCUAAAUGUCAGACGUGACAGCAGGAAUUAUCCCUGCGAUGCGGGGUCAGGAGCGAUGUGUGCGGGUGGUGGGCAGAGCACGGCCACUGCGGGACACGGCCUCGGGUUGGGAGGGCUGUGCAUGGGGUGGCACGGGGGUCUCAGGGGAAGCAAAACAUGCAGGGGACAUGGGCACAGUGUGGUGGCAGCCCCUUGGAAUCUGAGCUGAGAGGCGAGGUGGGCUAUCCAUAACUGCCCGAGCAUUGAUUGGCGGUGCUGGCACUGCCCAGAGCUUGGGGUGUGCAUCAGAAUGAGAAGGGAAGCAGCAGGGCCCUGGGACAUCACCAUGGGGAUGGUGGGAUCCAAACCUGCCCUGCCCCACAGAUGUGCCUGAGUGCUUUUCUCCUUCACUGAAUGCCAUUGUCCCCCAGCAGCAGCCAGGCUGAUAUCACCGGAGGCAAGACCUGAAUCAGACGCGGAGAAAUCAGCUAUUUAAAUGCACCGGAGUUGCUGCGCUCCCAUUAAACCCCAAGAAACCCAAUUGCAGUUUGGAGAUAGAGGUACAGCGAGAGGAGGUGUGGGACACACUUCUGCACAGUCACCUAAUGGGAAAAGACAGAGCCUGGGCAGAAGUGAGUGAUAAAGGAAUGGCGAUGUCCAAGGCUUGCACAGCUCAGUGCUGCAGCAGCACCUAUGAGAGCAAGCAAAGGAAGAGAUGCUGUCUCUGGCAAGGGAGCAGCUGAAGAACUGCUGUCCUGUACUUUAGAUUUGAAAAGUAUAUAUAGUUUUAAUUAUUAAUGACACAUCAGUUUGAUACACGUGACAAUGAGGCAGCAGAGAUGCUCCAUAGUUUUGCAUGGGGUUUGUGGCUGCUCAUGCAAACCCACAUGAACGAGCAAUAUCCGAGCCUUUGCUUCAGCUCAGCUCAGAGCAAAGUGUCCCAGCACACAGGACUGCCUUGCCAGGUGCUGACAGCCCUCCCGCAUGCACACAACCAGUGCCUUGCUCAGAAAGACUGGAGGAGGGGGAGUGGAAUGAGGGUCAGCAAUUUGCUCCCUGUUGGAAAUAUCCCAACAGCAAGGAUAUCAAAGCUGCCCUUUAAGCAGAAGCUGAUGAAAAGCUGCUACAAAUUAAUCUCUUAACAUUUUAAUUUAAUGCACGUUUUGUUCCAAGAACAGGGGUGAUCCAGGAAAGGGUUAAUCCGAGCUGUGCACCUAGCACAUCCACACCAGAUUUGCAGCAGUGUGGGUAUAUACAUGCAUUUCUAUCACAUACACAGGUAUUUCUUUAUCAGAGGCAUGUGGGCUGGACAGCAGAUGGGCUCUCCUCUCACCACGGUGGGGUGUGGGAUGCCACACAAAUUCCAUCAGGGCGACCUGCAGCCCAUCAGCAUUGCAGCAUCACAGGGAGCCCCAUGGGAGCAGGGACACUUCCCAGCAUCACUCAGAGCCACUUCAUUGGCUUCUUUAUUUUUAUUCUUUUUCAUGUUGUGAUGCCCUAACGUCAUUGUUGGUGGGAAAGAGCUGAACAACAGACAGGUUCUGACCAGUCCCUCUCUGCCAUCAGUCUCACAGCAUAACCGAACUGCUUUAGUUGCACUUAAUUGUGCUGUUUGUUUGUUUCCAUGUUGUCAUCAGACAAUAAAUCCAAAGCAAUCACUGUCCAAAUUUUUACAGUUUUCCCAAAGGGAAUGUCAAUUACCUUUCCCUCCCAGCACCGCUGACCUCUGCCACAUACAAAUCCCACUUUUAUUCGGAGAAAUGCAGCCACUUGCUCCAAUUAUUCAGCCUGCACUCUGAGGUGAGCAUAAAAAAAGAGUGUUCAGUAGGUACAUCCAGAAAGGGCUGGCUUAAAUCAGUAUGGCUGUGACCCAAGGCAUGAAAUACAGCCCCUCACACACAGCCUAUGUGUACGGAAGGUUAGCUGGAGGAGUGGGACGUUGCUUCAAAACAACCCUGGAGGCCUCAGUUUGGGUGAAAUCUCCAUCUGAGGGAUUACUUCUGUUGCUGAGGAUUUGCCUGUAGAAAACCUUGCCAUGACCCUUGGGUCAGGGGCAGCCUCGGAGCCCAUCAAGGGAUGCAGGAGGGAUGGUGAAGUGGCACCCUCAGUUUCCAAAGGGGAAAUGCAGUUUGGGACAGGAGGAGGGUGGAGGAGAGAAGGCUUCCUCCUCUUGCUCUUCGUUUCCUGCAGGGCCCAGGGGACCUCCUGGUGGGGCAUGACACAGGGAAUUGCCCAGGGAAGGAAUAGCUUCAGGUGAUGUUCCUCUCAGCAGCUGCCCUCCUCGUGCUUCACAUCGCUCCAUCCCUGCCUGGCCUUCUCUGUGCGCUGCCAAGCUCUCCGCAUUUAGAUGCCAGCCCACCUCUAUUCUCCACCCAUCUCCUUGGAUCAGCCACCUCAACCACAGAGCCCUGUCAGGGUGCCAGCAGGUGCAGGUUGGUGGAUGGAUUGGUGAUGGGCUUGAGGGUGGAUACGAGGGAUGCCUUUCAGGAGCAUAUCCACACAUCUUGUGUCUGGAGGGCAGCCCCAGUGUGCUGAGGACCCUUCCUCAGCUCUGAGUGCUGUGCUAUUUGAGAAUCUGAAAUCUCACUGUGCUCUUCUCUACCAUCCUCUCUUUGUGUCUCCUCUCAGGACCUCCCCAUGGCAGUGGGCAGCAUCACCACCCCAUCCCUGGACAGCCACGAGCCACACAGGAUUUCUGCCUGAAUUAACCUUCAUUAUUCAAAUCCCACCCAGAACACAGGUAGUGGUACCGACUCAGUAAGAUGAGAAUGCUUUUGUAGAAACGUCCCUGCCAAGAGCAAGUUACCCUUGGACAGGGAGAUAGGGUUUUGUGAUUGCAGUUUUUUGCAUGGAUGAUGUCCUUGCCUGUCUCAGAGAGGCUCACUGUAAAGGCUCAGAGGUUGGGUGCCAUUGCUCUGCAGUACAUGGGCAUGUCCAACCCACAGCCCCACGAGCUGCAGAUAGAUGAGGAGGGUAAUGUAAUUCCAUCUUUGGAAAUGUCAGACUUUAUGGAUGAAUAAAAUACAUUCCAUUUUCUUCUGUUUAUCAAUAUCGGGUGAGAACAGACUAGAAAUUGCUUAUAAAUGGAUAGCAUCAGGAGAGAGGCCAUCUAUUUGUUAUCUAUAGCAGAAGCUGAGCACUGAUCCUACUGUGGCAGCCACAGGUCAUAGAAUCAAAGAAUCACAGAAUAUCCUGAGUCAGAAGGGACCCAUGAGGAUCACUGAGUCCAGCCCCAUCACCUCUGCAUAGAAUACAAUAAAUGACUAAAAUAGAAAAGCGAGGCAUGGAUAGAAGAAAGAGCAACGUCGGGUUCUCCUCCGUUCAGCCAAUAAUUCUGACUACACAGUGUUUAAUGUUUGGUGAUGCCAUGUACUGGUUUUUCCAUAAGAUGGUCUCAAAGCCGCUGUGUGCUCUGAGUUUCGAUGGGAAAUCCACGGUGCCAUGUGAGGGUGGGCUCCCCAGAGCUCCAUGGGGUGUGCAGGAGGGAUACAGUCCCCAACAGCACCAUAACGGUUAAAGGAGAGAUUUCAGGAAGGGGAACAGAACAGCAGAGAGUGAACUUUGCAGAUAAAUUAUAGCUAAAGAGGAAUGAAACAUUAUAGUUUCAAUUACUGCUGUGCCCAGCCACGCAGGUAGUAAUUCAAACAAGAAACAAUUGGCGGAUUGUCACCCUCAAAUCAGACACAUACCAUUUAAUUCCAUUUACUGAGGGUUCACUGACUGUAUUUUGAAUCAAAUACAGCCAUUAAUGUGCAAAGAUCUGAAAAAUGCAUGUGUCCCUUUUACAAAUGUGACAAUGAGACGCUAAUUCCUGUAAAGCCCUUUUUUCUUCAGGUUGGACUGCUCCUAUUGCCUUUAGUUAUGCAGAUAUUACUUAUUAAGAGUUUUAAUAUGUCAGGCUGGUUCUUUUGAAAUGCCUUGUGCCUUUUUGUUCAGAGCGUGCGGAAAGCGCAGCUAAAUCCAUUCUUACGUUCCAUCAUCCAAACUUAGCAAAUUGAUUCGAAUGCAGGAAAAAAAAAAAAGCUACUUUCAUUAAAACAAUUAAAUCCUUACUAUUAUUGCUGUAUCUGGCUAUUACAGCACAAAUAUAAAUCAUCGGUUACAGGAGCUAAAAGCUUUCAGCUGGAAUUGCUCUACCGUCUGCCCCAUGCCAUGGGCAGGGAGGAAGGAUGACGUGCACCAGGCUUCUUUAUGGGAGAUGCUGCUGCCUAAAUAAAAAAGUCAAGUCCAUAAAGUGAAUAUUAUUGUGCUACCUUGUUUCUCCCCAGCAGUGAAGCAAUGCAUGCCAAUGGGCAGAGCGAAUAGGAGGAAAUAGUUGGGUUGGUUUUCCCUCUCCUCGUGAAUUGGGGGACAUUUUGGAAGGGGCACAAAGGUUUCGGGGGCAGUUGAGUGCUUUUGUUUUCCUUUUCUAAAUAAACCACGGAUCUGCACUGCCACACACUCCCCCCGUGGGGUCACGAAGUGUGCUGCAGAAUAAAAACGGAGCUUUCUGUGAUAGUGCACUUGCCCUUCAGAGCCGCUUGGAUUGCAUCAAAGGGCAAAUUGUUUAAAUAUAAUUUUCCUGAUUACUGAAUAGGUCGACCGAACAGGAUAUGAAAUGCAAAGGCUUUUCUCAUCUUGCUCUUUGCAUCAUCCUAGGGCACACCUCGCUACAGGUGCUGCCUGUUGGCUCAAGGACACUUCCAGGCGGCAGAAUAUCAAAGGAGCAGGGAUGGACAGCCCAGUGCAUCCUGCACAUUUUAAAUUGCUUAAAAAGACUCUUUUGCAAAGGGAGUCUGAGGCAGGGACCGAAAUCAGUGCUCAGCAUGUGGAUUAGACAAACAGAGUGGUCAUUAGCGCUGAUUGUCAUUGUCACACAAGCACAGACUGUUAAUUCAGCCCAGGAGUCAUUAGAAACGAGCCUCAGCGGGGAGAGGGGUUGGUGUUGGUGUAGAUGCUGGAUGGUGGCUCUGCUGGCUUGGCAGAACAUGAAGGAGACCCCUGAGAUCCUACACUGCUCCGGUUGUAAAUUCCAAAUGGAAACUCCCAGGAAUUUGCCAGGAAAAGGAUAAUCACUCAUUAUUCUCAUUUGUGGAAAGCUGUUUAAACCCAGCCCUGCUUUUCUCUCCCCAUUCCCAAGCUGAGCUCAUCACCUUUCUGAGAAGCCACGCUCUUCCAGGACAGUGUCUCCUCUUCCAGCGGGCUUUUGCCCUGGCUUUUCUCCUGGGUCCAUUUGGGAGGGUUCCAUCUUUGCCCCAGUGCUUUUGCCAGUGGCUGCCACCAUCCAGAGAGAUAUUCAGCCUCAAGGAGUCCCCAGCAAAGAGCACCCACUGCCUUCCAGCCUCACCCCAGCAGCAGCGUUGAGGUCCCACAGCUGCAGAGCAGCGCCCGUUGUGCUGUGUGGGUGCCCCUUUAUUGGAGUUCCUCCCACCACGUGCUUGUAAUUUAUUUGUAUUUCCAGCAGAGAUAAUUGAGUUAUCAAUUCUGUGCUCUUUUGGGCCAGAAGCAAAGAGAUCAGAGAGCUGUUUUAUACACCUAAUUAUAGAUUAUUUCCCAUAGCUAUAAAACCACAGAGGGACAGAUCCAGAGAGCAUCCUUUUCAUCUCCACUGACUUUUCCCUUUGCUCUCUCAGACUCGGAUCAGAAGGGCCUCCAGACAAAACAGUUGUCAAAAGCAAGGGCUCCUUAUCUCCUCACAGGACAAAACCUCUCGGCAUCCCAGUAGAGACCGUGCACAGUUGCUUAAAGAUCAAAUUCAACUUAUACUUAACCAAUCUGCUUAAGCCUUUAGCACCUCAUUGAGUCGUGCUGAGAUUUAUUCCGUUUCUGCACACUUUGGCUAUAAUCUGGUUCAUGACAAUGGCCUGGGGGUCUGCUGAGGAUGUAAAAAAUUGAUUUUCUUUGCCACAUGCAGGCUUUGUGGGCUUGCACUUGGCAUGGCCCCUCAUGCCCCUGCUAGCUCCUAUGCUCAGCCUGCUCCCUCCUCCCCAGGCAGCUCUGAGCACCCUGCAGCAUCCGCAGAUCCCGCAGAGCUGCAGUGCAGAGCAGGGGUUGAGGUCCGGCAUACCCGAAUUUUCUAUGUAUGGAAAGAAAUGGGAAGUGUCCGUGCGUCGGUGUUAAGUUUCUGGUGGUGACACGCAGAGGCCAUCCAAGAUGUAUGACCUAGCAAAUGUAUUGUAACGCACACAUCACAUUCGUUCUCUGGGUAAAUAGAUAUUGUCUAGGGUACAUUACAUCUGUGCCUUCGUGUUUAAUUUAAUGUAAGUGAACUGCCUUAAUUUCUCCAAAUUGUAGUAAUAAACAUAACGUUAACGGUGAUACUGCUAAUAAUUUAUUUUGCAAGCGAUUAAUCAACAACAAACUCUUUUAAUUACCUGUUCUGAAAUGUCAAACUCUAAACUAAUUACAUGUUAUUACAUGAAUUCAUGUAUAUGUAUACACAAAUACGAAUUCCAAGGGUAAUUAAAAUGAAUAAACCAUCAGAUUUGGUAAAAUCAUGCAGCUGAGAGAAGUUUGCUCUCCACUGCAUUUCUGCCUCUUUGCAUUUCAUCCUCAGCACAAAGGGAGCUAGAUUCCAAGGCUCUGAGCGAGUCGUUUGUGCUUCUGCAAAAAAAUAUUACCCACAGAAAGUGGCAAACCCCGUGGGAUCUAUGCUGAGAACCACAAGGAAGAGAGGAAAGCAGCUGUGCUGCUCUGCUGGGGGGAGUACAGAGUGUGGGGCUCAUUUGGGUGCUCCCUGUGCAGGGGGUGAAACCAAGCAGGACAGAAGUGGGUGGUGUACAUUUGCUGUACUCAAUAAUUGGCAACGAUUUUUGGAAGGAGAUUGGGGGUGAAAUUAACAGAUUUGGGGCACGACCAAAUCUGUUCUCCAUUUUGUGUCCUUGUUGAGUCUCUCCGUGCAGGCACAACACAGUGCUCUUUGCAACACCCUGGUGACCCCUAGAUGAGAUUUGGAAGACCACUUCUUUGCACUGGCACUCCAGACAUCAUGGCCAAGUGCCCCCAGCAAUGUGGGGCUGUAUGCCAGUGGGUCACGAAAGGAUGGAGACCACCAGCUUGGAGGGUCUGGGAAUGAAGCCUUUAAUUCAGGGGUGGACACUGAGGCAGUCCCAAUGGCUUGCAGCAUGGGCUGGAAGAACAGGAUGAUUAAUGAGAGCAAUGGCACGAAGGAGCCAGGAACUAAGUAAUGAGACCUUUAUUUGAUACAUAAUACAGCCGGGGCCCUCUAUAAAGAGAAUACCAAGAGUAGGGCUAAGUUUCACAGUUCUGGGAAUGUAUCAGGAAGGGGGAAAGCUUUGCUGACUUUGCAGCCAAACGCCUGGGCCAUCCGCAAGUGUUGUUCGCAGUGAGCUUGGGACAUGUUAAUUUGGUCAUAUAUCUUCAGAUGGUGGCAAGAUGCCCUGACUUUUGAUUUACUGUGCUGAGUGGGUCUGUGUGAUGUUGUGGGUUUAAAAUGAGGUGUCCAGAGCCUGAUUCAGUCACAGGAUCACUGAAUUCCAGCUGGGAGAUGAAGAAGCCGUUAUACACACACAACAAGAACUUCCAGCCAAAAAUUACUUAUGGUUUCAAUUAAAGGAGAAGAAGUUGCUGAUUGUUUAGGUAUGGAUGUCAGAAACACAGCAGUUAACAGCAGAGAUGAAUGAGAGAUAGUGAGGUGAUAACUUAGAUAAAUUGGUAUCUCAUCCAUAUUAAGGAGACAGCUCAUCCUCUGGUGCUGCUGGAUGACAUGAAGAGUGGAGUGUAUAUGGAUACUAAAAAACGUUGGUCUUAAAGUUAAAUCCCCAAGAACCAUCAGAAAUAAGUCUCAGAAGCCAAAGUGAGAUCUGAUGCACGCUGCAAAAAUAUGCAGUCUGUCAGGGAACGCUGCUCUCUCCAUAUAACUUCCACCGUUUGUGGGACAAUUAUAGAGAAAAUGAUACUGUGAUCUGUAAAGCAGUUCCUGCAGUGGUUUUAUUCACUAACUCGAUGCCACGCAUAAUCAUAGCCAGUAACAUCUCCAGAGGUGUGUGCAUAAUAGAGAGACAUCAAGUCAAUGAGUCAAAACAUCAGAAAAUAAAAUUCAGAUGAACAUCACUUGCAGAAAUUCUAUCAUCUGUCAUUUAACGCUGUCUGAAGACCUCCACGUUGAAAUAAGGCGUGGAAACCAGAAGUUACCCCAGGCAGCAGUCCUUAGGACCUGCACGGACUCAGGGUUCUCUGCAAGUUGGGUUGAGUGCCAAAGAAGUUCUCUUGCGAUCUUAAAACUCAAGCACCCAAAAAACACCAUAGAGGGGAAGGCAGGGAGCAGGGAGGGUCUGUCCUGCCGUGUCCCCACCUCAGAUCCUGCCCAGCAUCACCCAAGCAGCUGCUGCUGGGAGCGGAGUUGCUCCUGGAUCACCUUAAGGCUAUUUGCAGCUCUUGCUGAUGCCCUUUCAAUACCCAAUCCCGAAACUUUUCAUGCGAGGAAGCUUGCAGGAUGACAGAUUGCACCUUAAAACAAAGAGGUAAUAGCUCUUAGGUCCAGAUCUGUUCUUGGAACUAAAUUCACUGCAGAAGAAGUGUUUCUGCACAACUGCAUAAUGCCUCAAAGUGGCAUUUUACAAUCUUUAAAUUCCAACACCGAUGAAGAAUUCUGCUUUAAACUACUGCAGCAGCCCAGCCCCCCUUUAUUUAUGAGUAAUAGGCUUUUCAUUUAGAUUUAACUACAGAUUUGAGUGGUUUCCAUGUGCCAGGGCUCGGAGUCACACCAGUGUCUCCUGAGGUGGCCGUGCUGUUUCCACAGAGUCACUCGGGAUCCCCAACAAACCUGUCUUUGCAUACAUACGUGUGUAUUUUAUAUAGAUGUACGCAUGCACUUCAUUUUUAAAAAGACAAAGUUUUUAUUCCAGGCUUCAUUUUCCUUUAAACCGUAUGAAGCCAAAGUUCGAAAGGAUGACCCAAAAUUGCCAGUUUGAUUGUAAUUUCCCCCAAAAGAUUUUGGGUUGUAGGUACAUAGAGAACGAUGGCUUUGCUUCCUCCUUUCUGCUCAUCAUCCCAUGCAAUGCUGAUGUGCCAGGAAGCGUGGAUGGGAUCAGGGAGCUUGGUGAGUUUGCCACAUCAGUAGUCACUGAGAGUGCCUGAAGUUUCAUUUUUCAAUGGAAAGCUGCAGUGAAACGAGUAUUUUGCUACUCAUCUUGUUAUUAUUCAUCAGUGCUUCCAAGAACCUCUCAGCCCUUUGUUUCUUGGGAAAGGCAUGGUGCUUAAAGGGGCUGAAAGGUGGAUUUUGUGGAAAGCCCAACCCACAUCUUUGAUCCCAGCGGUUUUGUAAGGCAUUCGUUUUGCUCGCUGGGAAAAUCUCUGCCCUCCCCACUCCCUCACCUCCCUCUCUUUCCCCUCCACCUAAGUUACCUCGUCUGGAUCCGAAGGAACGCUUGCCAUCCUUUGAAGAGGUAGUCUCGUCCGAAAAAUCAAUAGUCAACAUUGUCUUUAAAUAGUCUGACAUUUACCUUUACAGCAGUUUUCAUUUCUUUCCCAGAUUGCUCAGACGUUUGUAUUACCCACACACUACAUCCCUGAUCUCUCGGCCGGGAGCUUUGCACGGAUGCAGCCCCGGUGCUGCAGAGCGGCCACCAGCAAGGAACUGCAGCACGAUAAUUAACAGGACGGGAGCUCACUAAUAGAAGCAUCUUUAACUAAUUUAUGGAAGACAUCAGGUGAGAAUAAUUACAAGCAGAAGGGUAUUGUAAAUCCCUGAAGAAAAUACACUUGGAAUGCAGUUUUCCCAACAAGCAAAUCUGAAUGCUAGCCCAAAGGUCAGAAAUAAAAAGGCUGAGAGCUUCAGCUCCCCGAGCAGGCACCUCUCCGAUCCCUUCUUGUCAAGAAAUUGUCUGGGGGUUCAUUUAGAAAGCUGCUUGUUCAGGGCAGGGCCAUUUGCAAUCUGGGAAAGUUAAGCAAAUUAGCAGAAUUAUUAGGUAAGAGGCAAUUCUCCACAGCCUGCAAGGCAACCGCUUGUUAAAUGAGCUCACACCAGAGAGUUGCACUGAUCGAGUGGUGUUUGCAGAGACGGGGCUGUGCAGGCAUUUGCUCUGAAAUAAUACUGCUGUAUUCCCCUGGAAAAAUUAAAAAAAAAUGGGAAUUUGUGCAGGCUGAGCUGGAAGAUGCCUCUGUCUUCCAUACGCAUUCCUGCUUCUCUGCUCCUUCUGCUAUAAUAAAUAUCAUAAUCCUAGCAAAUGAGAGAAGGAGAUUAACCCGACACCUUUAACCCAGUUACUGCUUAAAAUAGGGAGCAGUGUGGUGCCACGAGGCCCCAAAGCAGGUGGCUCUGCACCCGCUGUCCCCUGGGGCUCAUAGGGACAGCUGUGCACUGCAGCCCCGCUGCUCUGUGCAGUGUUGGGAGUGGGAUCCAACUCAGGUCCUGCAAGGAGCCCACCCAAGGGUGGCUCACACUGCUCACUUGUUUUUCUAUACUCUUUGCCUAUUGAUUUGAUAUUUUUAUACCUUAUACAGUGCACUUAGCACAGAAAAAAAAAAUGGAUUAACCAAGUAAAUGUGCUUUAUUAGCGGAUCUCUGAUGGAGAAUGAUGUCGGUUUUCCAUUUAAAAGAUGCAUCGGAUUCAUCCACUCAUGAAUCAAUUAGUUCAUGCUUGAGGACCUCCUAACAUGCCACAUAAAAAACUCCCAAUGUCAAACUGCACGCUGGGUGGAACAACCAAGGGUUUCAAAUGAAAAAAGUGCAUCACUGGGAAACCUUUGGCUCUUCCACCACCACUAGGAUGGAAGCACUCUGCCCAACUCUUAGUUAACACAUUCUUUCUGUUCCUUGGUUUCUUAAAAUCUUUCUUUUUUUCAAGUUUUUAUUGACAGCUUUACACUCCUCCCUCUGCUAUACAAUGGAGACGGGCACAUAUCGUAAGCCUUUCCAAUGGUAGUUUUGGGGUCAGGCUGAUUAGAUUUGGGAAGUGUCAAUUGUUGAAUGCUGUCCUCCUUCUGUCUGAGACUAACAACUCUCCCUACUCAGAGGGUUGGCCCUCUUUCUGUCCUUCCUGAGGUUUAGGGCUCAUUGGUCCAUGCUCCACACCAUGAAAAGGCACAUACACUUUCCUAGUGAUUCACAUUUCUGCUUAGAUAAGAACCAACAGGCUCCAUCCCACCCUGGAGCCCCUGGGACUAUGUGGAAGGUCGCAGUGUUUAUUUUUGGUCUUGUCCAAUUAAAGACAAUGACCUGGAGUAGAUGAGAUGCCUGGGCAUGCAUUCAUAUCACAGGCAUAAUGCAAGAACCGUAGGCAUUUAAAUGGGAAUUCUUUCUCACCCGGUUAGACCGAUGCGUAAGGAAAUAAUCCAAGUGGGGCAUUGACAAGAUAUUUUUUGUUGUAAGUCUGCAUGCUAAAACCCCUAAAUAAAAGGAUUUUACUCCUUGAGAGAAAGAGGAAAGGCUAUGCACACCCAGCCUGAGGUGUCACUACAACUCAAUGGGAGCAAUGCACGAGCACUGAGCUGCUGGGAUGGCUGCCUGCACAUUGGGUGCCCACACUAUGUACAGAGCAGAGGGCACUGCUUAAACCUCAGUCAAAUAAGUAAACAUGGACAAGGAAGUAAAAACAGACGCACUUUUUUCUCAUUGCUGCGAAGAAUUCAGGCCAUGCAAGCACCAGGGCUGUGCAAAGAAGAGCAACUAUGUUUAAGAGCAUCCUUCUCUCUCUUGGAUGUACAUCCAACAGCAGAUAACAUCACCCAGCCCUUUCUGCUUUUGGAAACCAUGUGCAGCACAACUUGCUGCUCACAUUUAAUCCAAACUGAUGUCCUACGGCUGUCAUAUGCAUGAUUAUGGCAGUCGUUUUUAAUUAGUGAUUGUGUCAAUAGUAUUGACAUUUUCAUCACUUUUGGGGGAAGUAGAGAAUAUUUUCCAGCAGGUGAAGUCCCCUCUUUGCAGUUCUCUUCCCCUCCAGCUGCACCUACUGGAUAAAUGAGCUAUGCAUCUUAUUAAAAAGAAAGCAAGAGCAUUAAGUCUGUUCUCUGCUUAAGUACAUUACAGCAACUUAGGCAACACGAAACUCAAGAAAGGCAGAAAAGCAAAUACCCUCUGUCCUAUGGCAAGAUUUACAAUCUUGUUCUGAGUGCAAUAUUUAUUAUACGGCUUAACAGAAGCUCUGGCAGGAUGGGGGAAAUGCUGGCGGCCCCGUGACGAGGAGGAGGCGUUCAAUAGCUUGCUGGGAAGUGGAGUUGGACACGAACUGAUCAACCAGCCAUUACACUCAGUGAUAAACACCCUGCAGGAGCCAUCAUUCACCCAGGAAGAAAGAGGAAGGCAGAUCAUUACAUUUAUUGGUCAUAGUUUUUAAAGAGUCAAUAAAGACCCACUAGAAAAGACACGGUUAGGAGCAGGAAUAUAUAUAUUUUUUUCAUGUAUCUUGAAAAUACCUUCAGCUCAGUUUGCUUUCUGCCCAAUACGUCAGGGUGAAUCUUCAUCCUAGGUGAUGGUCCCAGUGUAGACGGUGCUCAUAUUGUACAGUUUUUAAUGUCUUUAACCAUCUUUAGCUUUGUACCCUGAUAGCCCCUCCAGGCUAUAUGUCAAUGCCAUCUGGGAGUAAAAGAAGAGACUUCUGCUCAAGUAACGCUGUAAUGUAGAUCUCUCGACUAAAAUUGCACUUCCUUCACUUGACAAACUGUCAGCACAGAACAAUUAUCUGCCUGUUGGUUUGCUUGUCUUUUCUUUUUUUCUCCUCUCAGAAAAAAGAAAAAAAAAGAAAAAAGAAGAAGAAAAAAAAAACCAUACAAAGGAAAAGGACCUGCAGAGUAAAAUGCCGUGGGCAAAAUCCACAUAAUCUGAUUGCUGCGCCCAGAGAUGCAUUGGUGGACCACCAAAGCACUGUUAUGGGAGGAUUUCUGGAACAACAAAUGCUUUCAGUAUUUCCUGCAGAGGAACAUGUGCCUGGGAUCUGUGUAGAUGCCAACAGCCAAAGCCUGGGAGCCCCAUUAAAAGAAAUCACCCUGAGCUGCUGCAGCAGGGUGGUGUGAAGGAGAACAUCCUCCUCCAACAGUUCAUGCACAGCUUCCCACUUAUGCAUUUUUCAGAACGAAUGCAGCAAAUAUACCUGAUCAGUGCUGAUACAACUGCUUCUCCUCCCCGACAUAUUUACACUAAGAGAUUGAUGAACCACAGGAAAAGAAGAAAAUAACAGAACAAACAACUUAUCUUCCCAGAAGCUCCCUAGAAACUUAUCUGUCAUCACUGCCCAGGCUGCAGCAAGAGGGGAUUUCAGCAUGGAAGGUAUUCUCAGUGUAUGCUGUUCACUCUGAGGGAACUUUUGACACCCAAGCAUUCUUUUCAGUGUGAGAAGCGAUUACUGCUUCCCAAAGGGGAGAGCUGGAGACCUGAGCCCUCAGCUCUGCACAUGCUCCUCAACCCCAACUUGUUCUCAGGAAAAAGUACCAGGUAUUUGCCUGAUCUAACGGAAUACAUGGAAAAAAAACAAACAACAACAACCAAACCACUAUUUGGAUUUCAGUAGGACUUCAGCAUAGACGCUUUGACACUUAAGGUGAGAAAAAUGAGCUACAGAGGAAAGCAUGGGUUUCCUUUUAGCUGAGGAGGGAUGCUCCUGCAGCUCCACUGCUCCUCAUGUCUUUGUCUUUAAAACACUCAGUGACAUAAAAAUUAGACGCACGUUAAACCUCAAAUCUAGCAAAUAGCUCCAUCUCUUAAAGCAUGUGAAUACUCCUGAUACUAUUAAGAACAUUUAAGCGGUACCUGAGGGACUGGGGACCUGGAGUCAGGCGACCCAGUUUCCUACAUAAGAAAAGAGAGAAAUGUCUGCCUCCUCUAAUGCCAGGGGUUAUCCUGGGCCAGGUAUCUUUAAAAAGUAAAGAUGUGAGCAAUCUCAUAUCAGACUUAUGCAUCCAAAUGGCUCAUUAUACCAGCAGUAAUAGCUUGUGAUAGUCCUAUAGAUUUACAGUACUUAGGAAGAGAUGAUGCCCAACGUCCUUUCCCAACAAUCAUUAUGACAUGGGGAAAACCAGUGAUUUUCUUUAAGUCCAUUAGCAUAAUAUUUGUGCUUAUGAGGAUUAGACCAGCAGACAGUUCACAGGUCUUUAGAAACAUAAGCCCAACACAUUCAAAUGGAGACUUUUUUUUGGAACAAAGCUAUUAUCUCUCAAAUCACCCAAUAUUGCUGGCCAGUUUGGGGCAGCUGGGAAGCAGCAGGUGCUUCCACCCCAUUCCCUGCCUUGCCAGCCCCAGAAUUCCCAUUUCGUGAGCAGCUCAGCGCAUGGAACAAAACACAAGGAGGGAACUUCAGAUCAAAACGUUUAUUCUUCAUUGCAGUGGAUGAAACACAGGCACGAGGCUCCUGGGGGGGAGGUGUCUGAGCAAUCACAUGUAAAACGUACAGCAUUUGCACUUGAAAUACACAGACCUGAAUCACAGCUGGGAUCAAUACAGGAGGACGAUAGAGAUUAUCAAUCUUGAGUGGUCUCCGUUACACAGAAUUGACUGGCAGCCACAUAAUGGCUCGGGCUCAGCCCACCAGUUUAGAGCCCGGGUGACAGAUCUGCAGACGCCAGCCAUCAGCAUCCCUCCUUGGCCCCUCUCACGUGCCCAUUUCUUCUGCUGUCCGGGUCAGCCUCCGAGGUGCGUCUGAGAGAUCAAUGCACAGCUACAGCUGGUUGAAGGGGACCAAAUCCAUUGAACAGUUGAUUUGGUUCCAUUUUACCAGCUUUAGCAAAGCAUUUGGCCUCACGCUCUGCAAAGCAAAGAGGGGAACUCCUCAGGGCCUUUUCCUUCACAGUCGCCAGGACCUCUUCUGAACUUGCUGCCUGACGUUGCACGGGUUCACAUGGCUUCGCUUUCAGGCAUUCAGGAUUUAUUUAAGCUUCUUAGCAGCUUUGGCUGAAGAGCGAGUCUGAAUUAAAGAGGCAGUUUUAAAAGCAGUGGAACAGUCUGCAGCACUCAGUGCCUGCCUGUAGCCUUUUAAACCCGGUGUUUGGCUCUGUUUUGAAGCUGCAUUGCUACCACAGUGUGACUGAGUAGUGUCCUAAUCCAGGUCAUUUAAUUGCCACCUCCAGCCUUCUUUCUUUCAGAUCUUUUGUCUGCUAUCCCCACCUGUGCCCUGCAUUCUGGUAACUCAAGUUUUCUCAUCUACCUUUAAAAUCAGUGCUUUCCAUGGCUUUCAGAUCUGUUGAAGACAAGCAAGGACUGUAUUUACCACCAUCGGGAGGGCGUUGAGUGGAAGAGAAAGCGGAGCAGCCCUGCAGCCUCCCAGCCCCAUCCUCUGCAAGGGCUCAGCCUGCAGCUCCCGGAGAGCCCCACGCUGUGAGCACCCACUGCUCCCAAUAACUCAGUAAAUCAGAUUUUUAAAUCACAGCAGUGGGAGCCAAUAAAGCCAGACCUUUCCUUCGUAACCCAGUGCCACGCGCAGAUAUUGCACAUCGCCACGUGCGUAACCUAUUUAAAGAAUUUACAUGCAUCGCGAGGCAAAGGUGACUUUUUCCCCCCUCUCCCUCACAGCCCACCGCACACACCACGAGAUGACACCGAGAAAAAAGCACCUGUGCUGAAAGGCACUGCAUGCAGAGAUAUUGCAGGUGGGCCGGCAUUGCUGGUCCCCAAGAAAUCCAGGCUUUGCAUUGUAACAGUAAGUAGUGCAGAUCACUUAACUGCCCAGCCCCAGUACUGUAAGCUGCCUAUAAAUAAAUGCGGAGAGAGAGCGAAAGAGAGAGAGAACAUCUUUUUUAAAAGAGCUCUACAAUUAAUUUAAUCGAGUUAUCUCUAGGUACCUUUUCAAGAGACAAUCAAGCCAAGGAGCUAAAUGGAAACUUAGACAGUGAGGACCUAGAAGUAUUAAACUCAUCCUUUGGUGAGUUAUAGGAGGGAGGGAAGUAAUUAUUUACCAGAGAACGGGAGGAGGUGGAAGUGCCAGCAGUGACCGAUGCUGCACCGAGACUGCAAGCUGAACCCUGACGGGCAUGUGGAUUUUGGGAGGCAGAGCAAUGAACUGCCCGAACAUCAGCAUGGCGUGCUCCAGGUGCCCUUGUCCUGUCCCCAUCCCAUUGGUUUUGGCAGGAAGGGCGUUAAAACAAGCAUCUUCUGCUGGAGAUGAGUGCUGCUCUGUUCCCCUCGCUUUGCUUCAGGGAGUGCCCCGCAGCACAUCCGAAAUCAAUGCCAGCACGCGCCGACAUUCCGUAACGUUUUGUUUGAAUUCUCUGCAGUGAGUUAUGAGUGAGGUUUUCCUUUUUAGAAAAUUAGGUUUUCUCUUCUGGAUGCCAUUAAUCACGACUAACGAUGGCUCUGGCGGCGAGGCUUUCCCAGAACUGAGGAAAAGCAUCCCCACACCUCUGCUGCAGGGCUGCAGCACAUGGGGCUCACAGCCCCCACACACCUGGGCCCGGCCAGCAGUGCAGCAAGAGGAACUGCAGAGGCUUUGCUGGAUGUGUUCAAAGGUGUGAGCUGUGCUGAAACCCAGUCAGACCAGGCUUUGGUGUCACUUACCCUUCCUACUGCCCUCCCAGGUUCAAGGACCGGGCGACCCAGUGCCACCAAAUUUAGGUUUGCUGUCUGAAGGUCAUCCUCAUCCAGUUGUUUCCUCCCAGCAGUGCUUGGAAUUGGGUCUCACUGGGAAGGUCCUUUCUGGUCGCUCUGUCCCUAGGACCCUGCCCAUGGGACCGACACCGCCCCAGCCAGGAAUGGCCACAUAGUGGAAUGGCACUGGGGAGAUAUAGGAACACAUCUCUGAAGCAAAUCCAAGGCAAAAUAGCAAAAUAAAGCUGUGCAUCUCAUUCCCCUCUCUGCCAGUCACUGUGUAAUGCCUCGGUUUUGCUUUUGGUCUAAGUGUCAGCUUUGCAGUUCAUGAUUACACUUCUGAGAGCAGCCAGAUCCCUGUGUUAUCAAAGCACUGCCAUGGCAAGUGGGGCCAAAAGUGGGCAACAUAAGAGAACCUGGGGCAAUGAAGACCUUUGUGCUUUAGCCUCAACAUUCUAAUGAAGAUGUUUUAUAUAGACAGCACAGAAUAGCCAAAGAAUUUAUCAACAUUUGUCGAUAUUCCUAAUGAAGCAGAAGAUUCAACAUGCAAUAGAAUUAGCCUACAAGGAUCCCUUGUGUAGGGCCCAUCCUUCUGAGUCCAGAAAUCUCCUGCUUAUUCCAGUCCAAUACCCUUUUGAGAAAUGAACAUCUCUUGAAAUCAUUAUCAUUAUAAGCUAAAAGGCCAAAUGAGACAAAGUACUGUUGCUCUUCAUCUGAAUAAACAAAUCAUUUUUAGAUCAAAUGCAUUAACAAUUUAUCAUGCUAAAAUCCAAUCAAAAGGAAAAAACAACAAUACAGAACAUUGAUUUCUUACAGCUUUAUCUUAAUGAAGUGCACAUUCCCUCUGUAAUUAGCUUUGGAAGGUUUUUUUCCCUUUCCUCAAGUUAAUGUGUUAUUUGAUUUCCAUCCAAAUGUCACUAAAUCUGAGGAAUUUUCCCCAAAAUGAAGUGGCUUUUGAUAAUACAGGAAAACGUCUGCUCUCUCAUUUGGCUAUUUUUCCCCCAAACAGCCAUACUUGUACUGCAGAUGAUUCAACUUUAUUGCAUGGUGUCUUUGCGAGGAUGUUUAAAUCAAUGCCACAGUUGCUGUAUUCUGCACAAUGUGCCAUUUGUAAGCCAGAAAAUACAACCUCGGUGCUUUUAUCCUUUUUCUUACAGACAUAAAAUAUUAAUUUAAUUUAUAUUAUUACAGGGGAAAAAGUGGACUGUGUUUUAUUAACAUUUCUAAAAUUAUAGGUAUUCAACCCAAAAAAUAUGCUUCAGCCAAGGCUGGGAAGUCUUCCGCUUGGAUUUUAUUUGACUUAAUUAAAAAGCACUCAGUUCCUAUGGGCACUAAAGGAGCUGCUGACAGUGCAGUAGCCACUCAGUCUUUCAAAACUAUUACCUGAACUUAAUAAAGUGUCUAUUUAGUUUAUACACCUCCAUGAUCCCACCUGUCUCCCACCAACAUGAUGCAAUUCUUGCUAAUGGCUGGAGAAGGCAGCGGGUUGAUGGCAGCCCACAGGCACCCCAGGCAGAACAAUUCCCAUAUCCUAUUGCCUGCCCUAUCUACCUUUAAUCACAGGGUCACAGAAUGGCUUGAUUUGGAAGAGACCUUUAAAGCCCAUCUGGUCCAACCCCCCGCAAUGAGCAGGGAAACCCACAGCUCCAUCAGUGCUCAGAGCCCCUCCAGCCUGACCUUGGGUGUCUCCAGGGAUGGGGCACCUCUCUGGGCAACCUGUGCCAGUGCUUCACCGCCCUCAGCAUAAAAACCUUCUUCCUCAUAUGCCAAUAUCCGAAGCGUUCAAAUCUCCACCAUGCUUGUAAUGAUCAAUGCUAGGAAAGCUUUUUCCCGGCUGCCUCUCUGCUCCUCCACUACAUAUCUCAUUUAAAUCUUUUCUUCUUUAAAUGAUGCUGAACAGAGGACUAUUGCUUUCAUCCUGCUUCACUGAGUAUUUGCUGAAAUGCAGUGGCUAAUUUGAUAGUCCGGUUUUAUUUGGACGUACUGUCGAGACAGAGAGCAAGAUCUAUAACAGAGAAUAUAACCCCAAAUCCUACCAAUUACCAGCUUAUUCCUUAGUUAUACAGAAGACCACAAGUGACCUUAUCAAAAUCUUGACUCUCAAUAUGAACAUCUUCGUCUUAAUCCAAAUUUCACCCUGGAGCUGAAGGUCCUGCUUCAUACACAGCCUAAGAACUGCGGAGCAUCCAUUGCAGCAGGGAGCCCACCCCUGGGACAGGGCUGCCCGCUGAGAGCUGCAGCUCCUGGAACUGGCAGCAGAAAUAGUUUGGAGUUUGGAUUUUUAAACUCACACACUCAAAGAGAACAAAGCUGUUCCCUAAUACACUUUGUGCAUUUUAUGGACCGAACAAUUAAAGAGGUUUUAAAACAUCUGCUGACUGCAUAAUUCCAUACAGGGGAGUGUACUCAGCAUUUUUAAACAACAACGGGUACGAGAUACCACUUAACAGUACAAAACACCAUCAGUCCCGUUAAAAUCAAUAGAAAAUUAGAUGCUAUGAAAAUGCAAUAUGUGUCCAAUUAGUUAUAAUUGGAGCAAAUGGUGAUGCAGAUAAACUCCUGGAGUAAGAUGCAUUUGUCCGGCCCGCUCCCUGCCUGCUUUCGGCACAGCACGGUAUCGGCAGUGGCAGGCUCUGCUGUGCCCCAUAGCAUGAAGGAUGAUCCCUCUAAUACACGUAUGUUAACUGUUAUCUAAUUAUGGAGCUGCUCUGAGCCUGCAGGACUGUUUCAGUGCCCCACCGUGCGCGGUGAAAAAUGAUCCUCUGUCACACGGAAACCUCCCUGUUGUACUUGACAAAUUAUGCCAGCAAACCUGUUUAAGAACUAAAAAAUCCUUGGACGCGGUGACAGGCCAAGAAAUAUGUUGUUUGGGGACAGAUAUUUAUUUAUUUAUCUGGCAGAGGUUAAGAGCCACCACUCGGUUCACUUCUCCCCUGCCUGUCUCCGUUCUGGCAGCUCAAAAUCCGUCUCACCGAUUGUUUCGCCGGUUUCUUUCAACUCAUAAAAACUCCAUUGCAAGGCAAAACAGGAACUAGGUUAUGCGAUGCCAGCGCUUUAUUUUUAACAUCUCCCCUGCAACACGUUGGCCUCCUCUUGGUUUAAUCUUACAACUAAAGGAAUAAGAGCGACGGUUCCGCACAUCCCCAACCGAGCAUUGCCGCCGGCCGCGCUGCCAACCCUCCGUGCCCUUGCAGGGUAUGGAAAUGUGAAACUACUCACGUUGCUCUCAGUACAACCCAUAUUAACUUUGGGGGGUAUUUUUUUCGUAUAUUUGUCUAUAAAGUAGAGAUUACUUUACACAAACAAUUAGCUCAGAGGUAAGAAGCUAUAACUACCGGCAGGGCUCUUAUUUUAUUCCUGUUUUCUGUUAAUAUUAUUAUUCUAAUCAGCAGUAAGGACUGGUGGGUGCAAAGAAAAGCUCCUGUUUGCCCGGCCCUGAAACCUCCUUGUGUUAUUGCUGCUGUUACUUACACGGGAAAGGGAACUGUCUCUUGAGGAAGGGAAAAAAAUGGAGGUGGCAGCUUUUAUUUGUUAAGCUGACUCAGCUGGACAGUGGAACAAGAAAUGUUCAGAUCCAAUCCAUAACUUUUGUGGCCGCUCUAAGGACGUAUUCUUCCUCGACACUGAUAAAAGUUUAAUAUGGAGUUGCCCAGGUUUUUAAUAAACUUGUCAACAAAAGAGCAAGGCAAAUUGAUGGGGACCUUCCCAGGAAUAAAUUCCACUUCAAAUAGGCCAAAUGAGUGUGGAGGACAGAGAGGGGAAGGCACACGGGCAGCUUCUGCUGUUCUUUGCAAAAAUGGCACAAUGGAUUUUAGCGGGUGCGUAUGUGUGUGCGUCUUAUUAUCUCUGAGACAAGACUUUAGGACAAAGCUUAAAUUAAAGAACACAACCUGGUGUGGCUCAGAGCCCUGACCCGUACGGCAAGGAAGGGAAGGGACAAAGCUCCGGCACUGAUUUAGCGGUGAAGCCAUUCCCCACUAAGGAACUGCCAUCUCACCCUGUGAGUAGUGCCGCAUCUCCCAGUGCACCUGAAGGCUCCAGGCAUCUCCUACCCAGACUGUGGUCACUUUGGGACCAUCCCCAACACACUCUGCAACAACCUUUACUCAUACGCUGAGUAUCACCUGUGCCCACCCAUGCAUCACCUGCCCGCCAGCAGACCCUCUCUACUCUGACCUGUGAUGCCAACAGAGUUUUAUCCCACAUCCCCCACUACGCACAUCACAUUUCAGCUACUGCCUGCGCGUUUAUCUCCACUCAAUCAAACCAAUCCCAUUCACUGCUCAAUUUUUUUUACUUCCAUACAUCAUGAGCUGCCUCCAGGCACCACACCGCCCCUUCCCAUGGCACUGACUGCAGGCAUGGCAGGAGGGGCACACACUGCAUGCUCUGCAAGCUUGGGAUGGAAAUCUCUGCACGAGAUGCAUUAUUUUCUAUUAGCCUCCAUCAAGCUGGUGCCUUAAAUUAUUAAGCUUUGUUGUGGUGUUGGUUUGGUUUUUUUUUUAAUUUGUUGACCUGAAGUAAACACAAGUAUUAAAUCAGAUUCCAAUAAUCUCACUGACAGUAAAUUAACUCAUUGUGUCCUAGAGGGGGACGCAACCGCAUCUUGGCCACUCUGAGCAAUGCUUCACCAUCCCUGCAGAUUCCACAUGCAUGCAAUGGGGUAAAAAGCAGAAGGCCAGAUCCUGCCUCCAACCUUGGGCCAUGUCCCAGAUUGGAAGCUCUGCCUGGAUGCCGCGAUGAAAUUUAUUCCUGAUCAUUCUUAGGUCACCGGAUUCCUGCUCCGGUAGCUUUACCCGACCCCCCAAAUGCCAGGGUCGACGUGCCUAUGUAAGGGCUUUGCAGGGACGGCUCCUGCCCUCACAGCUGCUUGGGGACUUCUGCAGCCGGUGGUCACGAGCCCCUGGCUGCCCAGAUGCCACCUAAUCCGGCCCGGCAGAGGGGCAGCUGAGAAUGAGCACUAUUUAUACCAGCUGCUGCUGGUCCCGCUGGGCUGCCUGUGGCUUUUUUAGCUAGCAGCUCCCAUCCCAGCGCAGGCCAUAUCUGGACAUGGCACAGGCAGAGUGCUGCGCUCCGAGAAAAGAGGAAAGAAAAAAAGAUGGAAAAAAGGAAAAGCUGCAUCUGUUUUAAGAUGUCAGACACCCUGUUUCCAUCAAAGCAUCCUGAGCACCACCAAAACUGCUCCAACUGCUAAAAGCUUCACUAUAAACUUGCCUCUUAUUCCAAGUGUGUCUGUCCUCUGACAACCUUCCACCCGUGCACAUGGCUAUUGGCCUCUGUUCCUUCAUACAGACCUCUAUGCAAGAAAUGCAAGCUCAAAGCAAGGGUGAAUGCUGACACUGCUUACACAGUGUGAGCAGAAUCUCCUUUGGAGAAUUACAGGGUGUCAGAGGAGGCAGGCGGCUUGGAGCUCUGCCUGUUGAGGAGGCUGCACAAGACUUUGCAUUUUGGCCAUUACACACUCAGAAUGAGCUUGUUCUUGGGUAAUUGCACCAAGACCUUCUCCAGUCCUAUCCCUGCAAUGGCUUCAGCAUCUCUACAUGAGCAGCCCCCUCCCUCUGGGGGAAUGCAAGGCAGGGGAGCAGCAUAGCUGCCUGCAGCCCAGCAAGCAGGCGGUGCAAUGAGCUGCACUCGCCAUGACCCUGCAUCCCAACAGGGAAGCAUCUUGCUGCAUGAUGGCUUCAGGUCAAGAGCAACUUCAGCAGAAAGCGCUAAACUGAGCGCCUUCACUGGGAGGGAAUCGCUGAAAUCAGCGCCCGGCUUUCAGGGGAGGGAUGCGAGCUCCGGAGCGAGGAUAUUUCUCUUGCAAGGAACACACCACCCCCUCGCCCACAGCCACCGUGAAGUGCAAGAUGUGGUGAAACUCUUUAAAAAUAGAUAUAUUCCCAAGCAAUACAUGCCGCUCGCAUCUGGCAGGGCAAACCUAGCAUGGAAGCUCUUGCUUACAGACUAAAAAGCCUCGGAGCAGCUCAAGGCUCCUGCAACCUUGUCUCUCUCCUCGUUUCUUCAGAGCCCGCUCUUGUUCUUGGCCUAACCCAGUCCUGGGAAGCACAAGGGAAGCCCUGCCCAGCUAGGCUGGUGUCAAAGGCAGGGAAAGAUACUGCAGUGCAGUGCUGAUCUCUUCUGCAAUCGGACGUGCAGACUAGCCCGAAUGCUGAGUCAGCACAAUUUCUUUUUUGAUUGGUUGAUCCGAGUAACAUACUUUCAAUGUAUGCUAAAGGGGCAGCAAUUAAUAUGUUUUCCCCCCGUUCUCCACCUUUCCAAACCUCCUCAAAUCAAACACACAAAUCUCACCCCCAAAGUCACUCUCUGGUCCUAAAUAUUCUGAGGCUCUUUCAUUUUUAAUUUAGGGCAUUAAAAAAAAAAAAAUUUGCAAUCUAAGCGAUGCUCACUUUGAUCGACUUGUGCUGCAGCAGCUAAAAUAUCUGUCCUGCAGGUCAAUCUAAUCAUGCUUAAUAGCAGUUUAUUCUUCAACGCAACAUUUUUCACAUUGGGUCGACAGUUUUAAAUGAGAUUGCUGAUGCACCCCUUUACUAAUGCUUUCACCAGGGCCAGCACAUCCCUUGAAAUACUCGUGCAAUAAAAUGAAUGCUUUAUUGCUCUUGAUGAAUGCACUAUUAAACUUGAAUUGCAAAUAUGCCCCCCCCCCCCCUUUUUUUUUUUACAAAAAAAGAGUGCUGGGAUUUAUUGGACCACCUGUCUUCCAGUAUUAAGUAAUAGCAACAAAAGUAAUAAUAGCUCAUCAACAUAAACACAUGAAAGGGAAAAAAAUAAUUCAGGGGAAAACACACAGCACGAAUUCAUCCCCGUGCUCCCAUGCGCGUGUGCAAAAUUCUCAUUCUAUACCUGCCCGUAGUUCCUCUUAUGUGCAGAAAAUUCAUCUCAAGAACGGAUGGGUUUUGUGAGGCAUAGAAUAGGAAAACGUAACUAAUUUGGUCCACUGGAUUUAUGGCUUUUACAGUCCUCAGAGCUCCCGUUUCUGCUGGUGGGACCGCUCAGUGCGCGCUUUGCGGGACGGAUGGGCACAGCCGAGCAUCGCGCCUCGCUUCAGCACAGAACCUGCAGCUUUGCUCUAUGGAGAGCGAAGGAGAAGAGGCUUUCUUCAAACUAAGAAAUAGGGAGGACCUAGUGUGGAGGAACAGUCACAGUUUUAAUCCAAACAAGAAGAAAAGAGAGAAGGAGCUGGAGCUAAGAGUAAGAACGGCGCAAACUGGUGGACGAUGCUAAUGACUAAAGGGCUGACGUGGUUUUGGGGUCUUUACAGCAUUUCUAUUUAAUUUUUGGCAUUGCCACACUGCACCAGAGACGGGGUAGGGUCUCAGGAUGUGUUCUGCACCCGCACACCUCCACCACGUGGCUCCCACACCGUGAGACAGAGCUGAGUUAUGGUUUUGAAAAUAUUUACAUAAAAAUAAAUCUGAACACUUAGUGACUUCCUAAAGUUAGCAAUUCCGUGUGAUUAACAAGCAUAUUAAUUCAGAGAGGGGGAAGGAGAUAAAAAUUGCAUUAGGGAUGCAGGUAUCUGUUGUAAAUCAGACCAUGAGCACCUUUGCUACAGAUAUGCACAGUGGUGUGGAAGGCUCAGCAACACCCGCGCUGAGAAUGCAGAGAAAGAGAAGAAAACAAGAAAAAGAAAGAGCAAGACAAUGAGAGAAUGAAAGAAAAGAGAAAAAAAAGAAAAUAAAGACGAGAAAAAUAUAAGAGCGGAGUUGAAAGCAAGAAAGCAAGCUAGAAAUAAGGAGAAAAUGAGAAGCACACAAGUAAGUAGAAGACAAGGAAAGAAGGAAGGAGAGGAAAGCAGUGAGGAAAAGGGAAUCGAGAAGAGGUAGGGUAAAGGGUCACCUGGGAGAGGAGGGAAAUUGCUAUUGUGGCCAGAAUGGUGAGAAUCAUCCCCAUUUUUCACACAGCAAGUCAAGCUCCCAGCAGUGAUGUACAAGUGAGAGAAAUUGCAGCCCUGUUUGGCCAUGGGAACUCUGCUGCUCCGUCUCUAUUCAUUUCCCAGCACCUUUGUAUUUAAUUGUGGCCCCAAACUGGGGCAGGACACCCUCAGUGGCUGGGACCCAUCCCUGUCCAGGGGACAAUGCCUCUCCUCAAAGCACCUGGCAAAGCAGAGGUCCCUCCUCCCCCAAGCAGAGGUUGAGCACUCCAUGUGUGUCCACCACUUGUAUCAUCUUUCUAAAAAAAGAAAGAUUUAUAAAACUUACAGAAUUCUGUACAUUGGAAAUCUCCUUAAGAGCCCAGCCCUCCUUACUUAACCUGCUAUUCACAAGUGCCUGCUUUCCAUUAAACCCCAUUUGGUGUACGUGUAACAAGUGGCAGCGGUGCUUGCCAUGAAUCACAACAAACUGAGGCUCAGCAAAGGCCUUCGGAGCACUUUUGCCAAGCACAGAGAUGUGCUGAAACCAGAGGGAACUUGCUCCAGAGCAGAACACUGCUGUGCCCUCGGCUGCACGGCGGGGUGAUGGGGAUAAGUUUGGGAGUAGGUGGGAUGGAGAAAUGCGGUGCCUAACAGCCCAGAUAUGUGCAUCUCAUAAGCUUGAGGAAAAUGGGGGCUGAAAGCUUCACCCGCCCCUACCCAGACAGAAAGUUCUGAUUGUUCGCACAGAACGUUACACCCAUUUGUAUCACCGCAUCUCACUGCCGUGGGAUGCUGGGAGAAUAACCAGGUGUUUUACGAUGAGAAAGGUUAAAAAGGAAAACCAGAACACCAGGAAAGCUUCUCAAAUUCAAGGUGCUAUUUUCCUUAUUUCCCUCUAAUAACACACACUGGGAGCGCUCACUGCCUCUGGCUGGGAGCUGGGCACCCACUGGCCGUGUCCAAGGGCCAACACACGCAUGGUGAACAUUGCUGCCUCUCCAGCAUUAAGCACAAAAAGUUUUAACACAGGAAACAUCCCAAAAGCUGUCUGCGUAUUCACGUGAAGCCAAAAUACUGCACCUCCAAGUCACAACUCCUUCCCUUCUUCUCCCCGCCUCCAACUCCUUUCCUUUUCCCUAGGAUUAAGGACCAGCUCUGUUACCCAGCCUUAUUUUCGGGAAAAAGGGCCGAGGGGGAAGCAGCAAUCCGGAGGGACUGGUCUGUAUCCCCGCUGAAAACCAGGAGUGGACAGCCAGCUUUCCUCUGGCAUCGCCUUUCAAAGCCCAUGCCGCAGUCAGCAUAUUGAAUAUUUAAUGUCCUGAUGAGCAUUUCCACCUGCUGACACAGGCAAAGUGACAGAACAAUACACGCACUGGAACAAGAUCACCAAUUGACUCCCCAGCCAGUCUGCCAUGUCAGGCAUCUCAAAAAAAAAAAGACAAAAAUCUGUCUGUCUUCCUCCCCCCCCCCUUCACAUGGGGUCAUACAUUGCUCCUCCGAGAAGAG